AACGAACGCUGGCGGCAGGCUUAACACAUGCAAGUCGAGCGCCCCGCAAGGGGAGCGGCAGACGGGUGAGUAACGCGUGGGAAUCUACCCAUCUCUACGGAAUAACGCAUGGAAACGUGUGCUAAUACCGUAUACGUCCUUCGGGAGAAAGAUUUAUCGGAGAUGGAUGAGCCCGCGUUGGAUUAGCUAGUGGGUGGGGUAAAGGCCUACCAAGGCGACGAUCCAUAGCUGGUCUGAGAGGAUGAUCAGCCACACUGGGACUGAGACACGGCCCAGACUCCUACGGGAGGCAGCAGUGGGGAAUACUGGACAAUGGGCGCAAGCCUGAUCCAGCCAUGCCGCGUGAGUGAUGAAGGCCCUAGGGUUGUAAAGCUCUUUCACCGGUGAAGAUAAUGACGGUAACCGGAGAAGAAGCCCCGGCUAACUUCGUGCCAGCCGCCGCCGUAAGAC
rnacentral:rRNA from 1 species